rnacentral:rRNA from 1 species
GACGAACGCUGGCGGCGUGCCUAAUACAUGCAAGUAGAACGCUGAAGGAGGAGCUUGCUUCUCUGGAUGAGUUGCGAACGGGUGAGUAACGCGUAGGUAACCUGCCUGGUAGCGGGGGAUAACUAUUGGAAACGAUAGCUAAUACCGCAUAAUAGCAGUUGUUGCAUGACAACUGUUUGAAAGGUGCAAUUGCACCACUACCAGAUGGACCUGCGUUGUAUUAGCUAGUUGGUGGGGUAACGGCUCACCAAGGCGACGAUACAUAGCCGACCUGAGAGGGUGAUCGGCCACACUGGGACUGGGACACGGCCCAGACUCCUACGGGAGGCAGCAGUAGGGAAUCUUCGGCAAUGGACGGAAGUCUGAACGAGCAACGCCGCGUGAGUGAAGAAGGUUUUCGGAUCGUAAAGCUCUGUUGUAAGAGAAGAACGAGUGUGAGAGUGGAAAGUUCACACUGUGACGGUAUCUUACCAGAAAGGGACGGCUAACUACGUG